GACGAACGCUGGCGGCGUACCUAAUACAUGCAAGUCGAGCGGACCGACCAGGAGCUUGCUCUUGUUCGGUUAGCGGCGGACGGGUGAGUAACACGUGGGUAACCUGCCCGUAAGACCGGGAUAACUCCGGGAAACCGGAGCUAAUACCGGAUAACACCGAAGACCGCAUUGUCUUUGGUUGAAAGGCGGCUUCGGCUGCCACUUACGGAUGGGCCCGCGGCGCAUUAGCUAGUUGGUGAGGUAACGGCUCACCAAGGCGACGAUGCGUAGCCGGCCUGAGAGGGUGCGCGGCAACACUGGGACGGAGACACGGCCCAGACUCCUACGGGAGGCAGCAGUAGGGAACCUCCCGGAAUGGAAGAAAGUCUGACGGAGCGACGCCGCGUGAGAGAAGAAGGUCGUCGGACCGUAAAGCUCUGUUGUUAGGGAAGAAGAAGCGUCGUUCGAACAGGGCGGCGGGGUGACGGUACCUAACGAGAAAGCCCCGGCUAACUACGUG
rnacentral:rRNA from 1 species